rnacentral:lncRNA from 1 species
GGCAGAGGGAAGCCACCAAGGUGCCAUUGAGGAUUGGUGUCUGGCUCUCUAUGGGCAAGAGCGCCAGGGGACACACAGUGGGACCGGAACCUUCCAGAAUGUCUCCUCAGUCAGGGCCCUGUGCUAAUCACGAGUCUUUCCUGUUCGGAGCAGUGAGGCCUGAGACCCUCAACAGUGCUGUGUGUACAGAAGGCCCCCAGAAUCCACACAAAGGGGCCGCCUGAAACCUAGAGCAUUUGUGAAGGAGGAAAAUGGAAGGAACAACUGGAUGUUGUAAAUGUUUCUCAUCUGGCCUUAAAAUCCAUGAAAGCUGGAAAAUCACAAGGCAUCUGUGCAUAUACUGGUGGAUUUUAAUGAGAGUCCUGUGUUUGGAGCACCAGAAAUAAACCAGCUUCAGAAGCAAAGUUAACAGGAGGAGGAAGCAGAGCUAGAGAUGGAAGGAGACCCAGCCAGCCCGGGCUCCAGUGACAUCGGCUGGUACACGCUUUUGUUUGCUUACGCUUGUUGAACUGAGUUUUUCAUAUGUAACUAACGAAUACUGGCACAUGUGAGACUGGGCAUGAUUCAGAAAAGUUGGAAGAUCUAGAGAGGGAUCUUGCA